rnacentral:rRNA from 1 species
GCACAAGCGGAGGAGCAUGUGGUUUAAUUCGAUGAUACGCGAGGAACCUUACCUGGGCUCGAACGUAAGAUGACUGUAGGGUGAAAGCUUACAUCUCUUCGGAGCAUUUUACGAGGUGCUGCAUGGUUGUCGUCAGCUCGUGCCGUGAGGUGUCGGGUUAAGUCCCAUAACGAGCGCAACCCUUACCUUUAGUUGCCAUCAGGUAAUGCUGGGGACUCUAAAGGAACUGCCUACGCAAGUAGUGAGGAAGGCGGGGGAUGACGUCAAAUCAGCACGGCCCUUACGUCCAGGGCUACACACGUGCUACAAUGGCCGAUACAGAGGGCAGCUACCUGGUGACAGGAUGCAAAUCUCCAAAGUCGGUCUCAGUUCGGAUCGGAGUCUGCAACCCGACUCCGUGAAGUUGGAUUCGCUAGUAAUCGCGCAUCAGCCAUGGCGCGGUGAAUACGUUCCCGGGCCUU